CACUAAGCGGAGGAAAAGAAACUAACAAGGAUUCCCUUAGUAACGGCGAGUGAACAGGGAAAAGCCCAGCACCGAAGCCUAUGGUCAAUUGGCCAUCAGGCAAUGUGGUGUUCAGGUCGUUCCGCAGACGCACUGCUCCACCCUAAGUCCAAUAAUGAGUACGGUGGUACGGACAUGGCCCAUUGAGGGUGAAAGGCCCGUGGGGGUGGAGAUCAGGCGAGUCAGUGCUACUCUGGGAGGACCUUGGAGUCGGGUUGUUUGUGAAUGCAGCCCAAAGUGGGUGGUAAACUCCAUCCAAGGCUAAAUACAAGCACGAGUCCGAUAGAGAACAAGUACCGUGAGGGAAAGUUGAAAAGUACUCUGAAGAGAGAGUAAACAGUGCGUGAAGCCGCUCAGAGGUAAACGGGUGGAGUUGAACUGUGAGUUUCGAGGGUUCAGCUGGUGAUCAUGAUUGGGCUUGGCUAAAUUGGUCGGGCUCUGGGGUCUGUUUAGCUACAGGUCUCCGCCUUCGGGUGGGGAUGCGCGAUGCACUCGUUGAGUGUUGUGCGCCUCAGCGUUCCCGGGCCUGGUCGCCAGUGCACUCCCUCGGGACGGUCAUCACGACCGGCACUGCCGUCUGUCUGUUGCGGUUAAACCGGCCGUGCAUUGUCCUUGUGGCUUUGUGCGGUCGGGAAGGCAGGUAGCUCGUUGGUUUGCUCGCAGACUUUCGGGUGUAAUCAGCUGACUGCGAUGUGGCUGUGCGGUGUGUCGGGGACGGCGGCUUGAGGUGUGUGCGUGCGUGCUAGUCUUGCUGGCGUGUCCGUGUUAGGUUGCUCAGUUGCUCACAUAGUGGGCCAAGCGGCGACUGGGACGCGUGCGGUGGGCGGUUGCGUGCGUGGCACUAUUCUUGGGCCUAUAGUCUGUGAUGUUGCGGUAGACUAUCCACCCGACCCGUCUUGAAACACGGACCAAGGAGAGUAACAUGUGCGCGAGUCAUUGGGCGUAACGAAACCCAAAGGCGCAGUGAAAGUAAAGGCUUGGCUUGUCCAGGCUAAGGUGAGAUCCUGUCGUUUCUUACGCGUGGUACCACCAAGCAUCGAGCGGCAGGCGCAUCACCGGCCCGUCCCAUGGCAUUGGCAGUUGAUUAUACGGUACAGUCGGGGCGGAGCAAGAGCGUACAUGUUGAGACCCGAAAGAUGGUGAACUAUGCUUGUGCAGAUUGAAGCCAGAGGAAACUCUGGUGGAGGAUCGCAGCGAUUCUGACGUGCAAAUCGAUCGUCAGACAUGAGUAUAGGGGCGAAAGACUAAA
rnacentral:rRNA from 1 species